UAAAAAAAACUGUACCUGGUAGCUACUUAUUUUUCAUUUCAGGUAAUCAGAUGGAACCUCAAAAGGAUGGUUUUCUAAAGUUUGGAUUCAUCAUUAUCAAAUUUAAACUCCUAUUCAUUGUAUACUACAUUCAGAAGUUGUAAAAACAAUGUAAUCAAAAUGUAAACAUUUACUAUACACUGGAUGAUAUGUUUACCACUAAACAAUAUUUUCAAACAUAGUAUUCUCAAGUUUACUGACACAAGUGAACAAAUGUACACCAGGUGGUUUGUUUACCAUCUAAGUGCUAGUAUUUCCAGGUUUACUUACACACGAGAAAUGUGUAUCAUACACCAAAUGGUUUGUAUACCAUCUAAGUGCUAGUAUUUCCAGGUUUACUUACGCAAGAGAAUAAUGUAUCAUACACCAGGUCGUUUCUUUACUGACCAAAUAUUUGCUAACCAAACCUUAUUUUCCUUGCUGUACUUCUAAGUUUGGCAUAUACAUAGUCCAAAAAAUAUCACAUGUACAAGGUUGGUAAACUGAAUUAAGAAGAUCCGUUACUGUGAUGUGUCUUGCUUGAUUACAGUUAAUUGAAAGUAUAUCAGACUUUUGGCCCAACAAAAUUUUGUUGACUGUAAGGAAGGUAACCAAUAAUAAAAUUUAGAAAAUAUUCAUUAUGUGGUUAAAGUAGAUAAAAUUAUCAGGUUUUCGGUGCCUCCUAUACUUGUGACAUAUGGAUCUUACUUAAAUAUAUAUCGUAAGACUGUUUUUUUAAGGUCAGAUUUUUUUCUAAUCAUUUAUAACUGUUGAUAAAUUUUUCUAGUGCUUCUUGGUUCUGACAGUUCAUCUUCGUCAGUCAAGUCAUCCAAUCUGAAAAACAAGCUCUGUCCGUAUUGCCAGCGUUUGGUUCACUAUGCAGGUUUUGCUCGUCACCUUAAUACGCACAGAGAAGUACGAGAAUAUUUCAACUGUGAUGUGUGCAGCAAGAUGUACAGUCGGAAAGACAGCUUAGUUGAACAUAAACGUACCAAACACAGAUUUAUGUGAUCAUAAACAACAACAGGGAAAUUUGUAACAAUUUUCUAAUCAUGUUUGUUAAGAGAAAAAUAUUUCCUUGACCAAUAAAUGUUUCUUUGCUGUCAAAAGCUGUGAUAAUCACAUACGUUUUUAUAUGGGACAUGACCCGUAUUUUAUCCUCUAUUAGGUAUCUCAUAUGUUUAUUUGUGCAUUUUAGUCUAAUAGUGAAACAUUGGUGUGAAAACCCUAUUUUUCUGUUAUUCGAGAUUGCUUUAAAAAGAAAACAUGAACCAGGAGAUGUAAGUUACAUUUUUCAUUUUGAAUUGCACAUUACCUUCCUGGUUAUUCUAUAAACUCAAAACUUAGCAUUAUGGUUAAGCAAAUAUUUGAUAGACCAAUGUGCAAGUAAGUAUAAUUCUUGAAUAUUUAAAGAUAUGAAUUUGUGUUACAUUCUGGGUGUAUUAAUUUCACUCUUUUUUUUCUUUUUUGCUGUUUAGGCAGUGAAUGAAAUGCAUAGAGUGAUAAUUUUGAGGAAAAGUUGUAAAAAGAUAGUCCAUAUUCUAGUAAAUGUUCAUUCUAUUAUUCAUUCUUUUCAAUUUUUUUGAAGAAAAAAUACUGAAAUUUGACUUCAACAUAACAGCUUUACAUAAUUGGAUUUUCUCCCAUAAUAUCAGUAUUAUCUUUUGGAUUGGACCAUUAAACAUUUCUGCUCUGUCACUCAGCAGUGGCCUCCAUUAUUGAUGGGGACUUCUGAUUUUCUAAUAUAACUUUUUCAUAAUUUUACUCCAACUUUUAGUGAAGAAAUGGGUGGAUUUUCCUAAUUAUCAUGAAGAUGGAAUUGGAUUUCAUUCAGACAUGGCUGUAAAAAAGUGUCUAACCUCUUAUAGAUCUGAAGAAGGCCUCAGUAUAGAAGAUGAAACGUCAUUCCAUUUUCAUUCAGUGGGCAGUUGCAGUCCCUUAAAAUUCUCAAACCUGUUGUGCCUACUCUACUUAAUGUUCCACAGAAACAAUAACCUAUUUAACAGCAACAAAGUAUCACAGCUGUUUACUCAAGAAGCCUGGUAUCAGACAUAGAACUCUUUGGAUCUGUUCACAUUGUGGAUGCUUGUAAGAAAACAAGUUUCAA